GCUUUUUAAUGUGGUGUGAUGUUGUUCUGUAUGGGCUGAUGCUUAAAGCCUUCUGAAAUUGUUUGCUGGUACUCUGUGUUGUGACUGUCUCAACUGUGAGGGCUGGAUGAGGACUGUUGCUCCCUUUGAAAUAACCUGAAGGCUAAUUGCUCUAUCUUUGAACAAGGAAAACUUAAAUUUGAAUUGUUACAACAUGGUGAAUGCUUAGCAAUGCAUGGGUUCUGAAUAUGUUGUUCAGGCAACACCUUUACUGAAUUCUCUGGGAGUUUUCCAAUUAUACGCAUUCCUAUGUCACAGUAUGCUUGCCUGUUUUUCUGUCUGCUGGAUGAAAUCUGAAAAUAAGAGGGGAAAAAACACCUGUAUUUGAUCAUGGCCGUGAAGAAGACAAAAGCUCUUGGAUUCUGGUAAAGAAUGACCAGGCAAUACUCUUUGAAAAUUGGAGACCAUUUGCAGCUGCUCUCUGCUGAGGAAAGUGAAUAAUAGGGUGCCCUCAAGGAAUUUCAAAGGCUUAUCUAACACAUGCCUGAAUUUGGAAAGCAAGGAUUUCUGUGGUCAGAAUAGAACUGGACUGGUUUUGGGAGCAACUGGCAGGAUGAGAUGACAGUUUUUAUUUCUGAUGGCCCUGUUAAUACUUUUCACUAACAAGGAAAGGGAAAAAUUCUCUGCAAUAAUAUUGACUUCUUAUGUGAUCUUGGUGGUGUAGGGGGACGUGGAACUGCAGCUGUGAUCAGUUCAUCACAUGUCCCUACCAUUCCUUCCUUCACAAAGAGAGGGCUCGUCACAUUCCUCCCUGGCUGUGGUGUGAGGUCCUUCCCAUUGGACACAGUUCUCCUGAAAUUUUUGCAAGGUUUGGAGAUGCCCCUUCUGGUUCUCCUGCAGCACCACCAAGUGAUUGGAAGCAGGAGCUGCUCAGACAUGAUGGAGACAAUGGAGCUGAACCUCUCCUAGAAAAUCACAGGCCACAGUGAGCUGCAAAACCUUCAAGGACAGGAAAUGUUCAAGUUUGUUGUUUUCCAGUAUUUGUACAGCAGAAGAUGACAAGGCUCUUCUAUAAAAGCAUAUGAAACUUCACUAUUUCCACAUUGUGGACUGGAGUUUCAAAAGCUGCAAUGAAACCUGGGGAGUUCCUCUGGAGAAUCUAAACAAUCUUGGCAAGAUGCAGGAAGCUAAUCUCGCUGUCUGUGUCCUCCAAACUGGAGCUUCUUUCAAGAAAAGAAUACUUCAAUGAAUGGAACUGUUUACAUACUUUUAAUGAUGUGUUUGUUUUAAUUUAGUUGUAAGUUCAUCCUUCUGUAGGAUCCAUCUGAAUCUUAUCCCCCAGCUAUAUGUGUAAUUCAGGCUUCCUGUUUUAAGGUCAUCCCUAAUACAGAAAAUUGUCAUUAUAUUGGAUAUAAAUGCAAGGAGGGAUUUUAAAAGGUUCAUGAGCUUAGUAUAGGUUUUCUUAUUUCAGAAGUGAGCUUCUGUAUACUUCCCAUGUGGGAUCUCUGGAUAAAAUUUUUGUUAAUAUCCUUAUACAACUCAGAGCAAGAGCCAGAGAAAAACACAAUAUGUAAACCAUUCUUUCUUGUUUCUCAUGGAUUUACUUUGUUCAUCUGAAAAAUAGAUUUAUUUUAGUUUCUUAAUUUAUAGUUCCUACAGCAUGUGCAUGUUAAAAUCCAUAUACGAAAUGAAUAAAGGAACUGCACCCUGUCUUUUAGCUCAGCAAAAUUCCAUCAGUUGCAAAUAGAAGCAGCAUUUCUGUAGGAACAUUUUGAGAUUUUAUUUUUUAACCAUAGUCUCUGCAGCAUUUGGUACCACCCUGUCAGUUCCAUGAUUGGGCUACUCAGGACUUGAAUCAGUCAGGUGCUAAAUGUCUGUCACUGUUGUCCUGUCAGACGUGGCUGUGUUUGCAUGGCUGAUCACACUCCAGACCCUCUGCAUUCUUGAUGUGUGGGGGGAUGCUGGAAUCUAGAUGUAAGCUGAGCUUUAGAGCAGUAUGAACUUGGUAAAUGGGACAGACCUGGGUGCUCAGCACAUUGCAUCACAUUGCACAGAUGACAACCUGAGGACUGUGUACAUCACCUGGCAAAAUGUCAGUGAUCAGUCUGGGGUUGCUUACCAUGCUCUAAGUGUAAUUUAAGCCACUUGCUCUGGUGGAGUUCUGCUUGCAUCCACUUGUGCCUUCUACUCCAAAACAGGAAUCAAGACGACAAAGCCUUAGCUUGUUGUCAGGACAGCAGAAAGCUUGGAGGGUGGGAAUCUGGCUCAGUUUUUCUUGCAAAGGGCUGUGGAAACUUUUUUGUCUCAGCCUGAGAAGAAGAGAGGGCUGAUGGGUGGGAAGAACGGGGAAGGAAAACUGGUAAGCCGAUUUGAUACCAGCACAGGAGGCAGUAGGGAGGCAUUUUUUAAAAGCUGAUCCACCAGCACUCUUGAAACCACCUGUGACACUUUUUUUUUUUUUUUUUGUAGUGUGGCAGCAGUUUGCCUUUUUAACUCUUCAUGUUCUAUCCUUCAUUUUCAUAAUCCUAAAUUAUAUAUUGUCUGAGACUGGUGCUUUCUCUUUCCUUUAUUUCUAAAGUACACAGCGAGCAUGGCCAUCUCCCUGUUGUAGCCUCCAAGUACUGCUGGAUUACAAAGAGCGAGCAGCAAAAAGAAGAAUGGACAGUUAUUGACACUGUGUUUAUAGGGCCACUGGCAGACUUGCAUCUUGCCACUUGGGUGCUGGAAUUAGAUUUUAAAAUCAAACAUUAUUUUCUGUAAGGAAGCAUUUAUUUUCAGAGUCCUUGGUACACAGUGGCCUGAAUACUGCAGUCAUAAUUCUGGCAAAACUCCCAACAGACAUCUAAGUUACUUUUUCCUUGAUUCAGGUCUGCUGGACUCUGCUUUUCAGUACAAAUACAUCAUAGGCCAUAUGUGGCCUAAUUCCUAGAAGUUCUGAGCAGACCCACUGUAUGUUGCCAAUAAAGGGAAUGGAGAGAAAGAGACAGCUUGAAAGGUAGUUAAUGAAAUUAUUCAUGUUGCUUUUAUAAUUACAUUUAUAACUGCAUCAUCAUAAUGUGAUGUGUUGAUUAGUAUCUGGAGCAGUUCAUAUAAUUAAACCGAGCAUAGGGAAUUAGCAGAGGUAGAGAAACACCAUGGUGCUGUUUCUAGCACAGUUCUGCUCACAGCUCUUUGACAGAUUGAGAGGUGACCACAGUGUGAGAACUGAUGGAGAGGCACUGGCUCCCUUUCUUUGCAUGCCUCUUGUGUCUCUAAAGGGAAUUUGCCACUGCAGCAUCAGUGUGGUGGGUGUUUGGGACUGGCAUUUCCUGGGUGCCUGAUCUUGCAACCAGAAACCACCCAAACAUCUGCUCCUUUUCCAUCCAUGUCUGCAAAGUUUGCCAUGAUCUGCUGCCAAAAAUUUGUAUUCAGCAGCACACUGCAUUUGAAAUGCACUGUAAUACUUGGUCUGAAAGUAUUACACGUGAGCAAAAACCUCACUAAAGAAGGGAAAUUUGUACAUUGCCUCUGGUCUAGACUUCAGCUUUGACCAUUAGCAAAAGCAUUGUUUUCUUUUGCCAAGUGCCAAGUUACAGUUGAGUUGGGAAAUGUUAGCAGGGCUAUAUAGCAUGUGUAAAGGACUUUGAAUGUGGAGUUUAAAUAGUUGCAGUCAUUAUAGAAUAUUGAAAAAUAUUGGGUAUGAACAAUAUUUGUGUUCAAUGAAGUUCCAUGAGAAUGACAAGAAUCACACGAGUCUCUGCUAGUCCAGAAAAAAACCAGUUUCUGCUAAGGAAAAGAAGUGGAAAUAUAUCUUUAGGAUCAAGAUUAGAAGAGGAGAUCCGGUUUUGGAGAUUUUCUUGUUUGUAUAUUCUAAGACCAUUGACUCAGUGACUUAUCCACAGAUGAAUAGUGCCAGAGGAUUCAGAGCCAUAAGAUCCAAUGCCAUGUUGUUUAGCAAAGAACAAGAAGGAAAAAGACACAAUCCAAAGGUUUAGUUUUACUUUGUAAUGCUUUCUAUCUUGCCAUAUUUUUUAAAAUCUCCUUUCAGAUGUGUUGUAAGGUGAUGGCAGUGUACAAAAUGAUCUUAUGGGGUUGGAGAGAGUUCAAGGAAUUGUGGCAAAUUAAUCAAGUGUCUAAUCUGCAUUUUAUGUGGGUGCUUGAAAAUAGUUCACAAAUAUAAUAACUGUCUUGUAAUAAUCCUCAUAGGUUCUGAUAAAAAUAUAUGUUUGAAGGCACUUUGUAUAUGCAUAUUGCUUAUUUCCUGGCUGUAUUCUGAGCCACAUUGAGAUAGCAAUGUCAAAGUGUUGACAUCUCUGUGAUUUAGGUUCUUUUUACUUUUUACACUCAUGAGUAUUUGAACUCAUGGCUGUUUCAAUUUUCUGACAUUCAUGGUAAAUUUGCAUUCCUUUUCUGGAAUAUUCCUUCACAUUCUCGUUCAGAAAAUGUCUGCUAUGUAAUAUUUAUAACACAAGCAGAGACACUUGUGCUAGUCUGCCAGCUUUAUUACACAGACUUGACCCUCUCAUUGCUAGAUGUCAGUGUAAAAGUAUACUUACUAUUACACUUUAUUGCACCAACAAAGACAAAGAUAAUAAAUUAAUAUUUUGACUGAGUUGUCUCUACAUUUAUAGGAAGAUCUACUCUGCAGUCUGUAUACUUCACUUCAAAAAUGCAUCUGUA